AGGAAUGUAAGCCAUCACAGGAAUCCCAACCCAAUACUCUUACCCAUAGAUUGAGAGCCUCAGAGGAAGUGAAGUGCCUUUUAAAAAAUGACUUCUAACUGGAUGAAUCCCUCUGUCCAAGCCAUCAGUAAGCGUCUCCCAGAUAGCACUCUUACGUCAGUGGAACAGUACCCAGGACAGCAAGAGGAUUGCAAUCCGAGGAGACAAGUCACAGAAUGAAACUGAUAGCAGGAGUUCAAAGGAAAACAACUCAAGUGCAUUAUCAAAAGAAUUCAGAGGAGGAAGCCAUGGCUUUUGGCUGGUACCAAAAAGAGGAAAAAAAGAAAAGAAAAAAAGGAUGCAGGAACAAAACAUUUAAGGUUCCCAAGAUUUUCUGAGGAUAUAAAAGUACGGAGUGAACAUCCCAUCAUACAGGAGGUAUUCCCCAGAAACAUGUGGCAUGCCCAUGUCUCAGGCCUCUUUAAUCCUGCAUUUCACACUCUGACCUAUGAUUCAGUGUUGAAGCAUCAACUUAGCAGGUAAAAGGUUGCUUUUAUCUCAAGCAGACUAAAAUAACCUUUGGAAUUGCCCAAUGAGGGAAAGAAACUGUAUUUUUAAACAACCCACAGAACUACCUCCUUGUUUAGCAAUUCAAUGACUUACCCCUUUAUCACACACUGAUUGAUUGAUUGAUU